rnacentral:rRNA from 1 species
GCGCAUGCCCGCGUGUGCGAUGAAGGCCUUCGGGUUGUAAACCUCUUUUGGCAGGAAAGAAACCUCGCGGGUUAAUACCCGGCGAAAAUGACGGUACCUGCUGAAUGAGCACCGGCUAACUACUUGCCAGGGGCCGCGGUAAUACCUAAGUUGCAGGCGUUAAUCAGAAUUACUGGGCGUUGAGCGGGCGGAUGCGGUUCGGAAAGAAUGAUGUGAAAUCCCACAGCUUAACUUUGGAACUGCAUUUUUAACUACCGAGCUUGAGUGUGUCUGAGGGAGGUGGAAUUCCGCGUGUAUCAGUGAAAUGCGUAGAGAUGCGGACGAACACCGAUGGCGAAGGUGACCUCCUGGGAUAACACUGACGCUCAUGCACGAAAGCGUGGGGAGCAAA